UACGAGGGGGGCAAAUGUUGUUCGGAAUCACUGGGCGUAAAGGGAGCGUAGGCGGGUUCUUAAGUUAGGUGUUUAAUCCCGGGGCCCAACCCCGGACCGGCACUUAAAACUGGGAAUCUUGAAUAGUGGAGAGGUCAGUGGAAUUGGAGGUGUAGCGGUGGAAUGCGUAGAGAUCUCCAAGAACACCAGUUGCGAAGGCGGCUGACUGGACACAUAUUGACGCUGAGGCUCGAAAGCAUGGGGAGCAAACAGG
rnacentral:rRNA from 1 species